rnacentral:rRNA from 1 species
AUUGAACGCUGGCGGCAUGCUUUGCACAUGCAAGUCGAACGGUAACAGGUUAAGCUGACGAGUGGCGAACGGGUGAGUAAUGCAUCGGAACGUGCCCGGUCGUGGGGGAUAACGCAGCGAAAGCUGCGCUAAUACCGCAUACGAUCUGAGGAUGAAAGCGGGGGACCGUAAGGCCUCGCGCGAUCGGAGCGGCCGAUGUCAGAUUAGGUAGUUGGUGGGGUAAAGGCUCACCAAGCCAACGAUCUGUAGCUGGUCUGAGAGGACGACCAGCCACACGGGGACUGAGACACGGCCCAGACUCCUACGGGAGGCAGCAGUGGGGAAUUUUGGACAAUGGGCGAAAGCCUGAUCCAGCAAUGCCGCGUGCAGGAAGAAGGCCUUCGGGUUGUAAACUGCUUUUGUACGGAGCGAAAAGGUCUCCUCUAAUACAGGGGGCUCAUGACGGUACCGUAAGAAUAAGCACCGGCUAACUACGUGCCAGCCGCCGCAGUAA